rnacentral:lncRNA from 1 species
AAGAGUCUGUGUGAGACACUGAGCAUGGAAUAACAGAACUUAAUUCCUGAAGAAACUUGGAAAGUUAAGGACUUUUGGUAAAUGAGUUUGUGAGAGAAUGACAGUUAACUGUCAUUGGAGAAGGAGUUUACAAUGGAUUUGGGCAGUUAACUCUCAGCUUUCUAGAGAAUCUGGGAAGACAAUUUCAGGAAACUUAGUUUAACUGACAUUCCAAAAGGGAACUGGGUAAUUUGAACUGUCAUUCGUGAUGUGAAUGAAACUGAACUGUUACAUUGCAUUCUGAGAAGAAUUCAAGAGAGGAACUGAGGAGGCUACAAGGGCUUUGAGUAGAGGCUUAGUGAUUUAGCACGGGUCUGCUGCCUGUGGGCAGAUCUAAGUUCCAAGAGGAUGAUGAUGAUGAUGAUGAUGGCACAGGAAGGAUUGAAAACCAUGUCCCAAAUCAUGGAGGAACUGUGAGUCCUUGACAUUGAAGAAGUCAUCCUGCGUAACUUCCACUUUCUUGAAGAAGUUCUCUUGGUGUUCUUUGUUUAUUCUGACUUGGACAAUUGGUCUUACAGAAUCACAGUUGAGAGGUACAACAGAAGUCCCUUCUCUCCAAGAUGCACUGAAGGGGAAGAAGGAAGUGAUUGUUAUACCCAAGAAAAAAGCCAAAUACAAGGCCUUAAAGGUUAAAAAGGCAAUAAUGAAGAAUAUUCACAGCCAUAAAAGGAUCAGAACAUCCCCCAUUUUCCAGUUACCUAAGACACGAAUACUUCAAAGGCAACACAAAUACAUUCAGAAGAGUUUCCCUCAGAGAAAUGAAAUUGAUAACUAUGACCACUGAGUACAUUAAGAAGAAGAUUGAGGACAACAACAUCCUCAUCUUUGUUGUGAACAUCAAGACUAUCUGUAUCAAGAUCAAGAGGCAAUAGUGAACUACCAAAAAACUUUUUUACUGAAUUAGAAAAACCCAUAGCAAAGUUCAUUUGGAAGAACAAGAGAUCAAGGAUAUCUAGGGAAACAAUGAAAAAUAAAUACCAAGGAAUGUGACCUUGCA